GCUCGCCGCGGCCCCCGCUUUGUCUUCCAGAAGAGCGGGGCGCGGGCCUCGGGUACCCGAGCACCGCCGAGGUAGACAAAGGAUGCACUCCGUGUGGCAGAUGCCGGUCCAAGUUGUCUGCUUUAGUGGACUGCGAAUGCAACCUGGGGCGGAAAAUCCUCUCUGUGGAGCGUCCCCGCCCUCCUGAACAAUGGGGGCCCGCGCGGCUCCAAUACAAGGGCUCUUGGGGGGAGGGGGAUUGAGGUUGCAGCCCGGGAAGGGCUAGCGGAGCAGUGGCGAACAUGUCGAGCUUGGCAUUCCUUGUACCGCCCGUGACAGCUCGGCCCAGCGAGGUUUGCGCUGCCCUUCCAUUUCAGAGAUGAGGAAACUGAGGCCCUUGCUCUGAGAGACCCUCCUGACACAAAACCCACAUCCUCCCCAGUCACCUGCUGUGGGCCAGGCUGGACAUGAGAUCUGGAGAGCCAUCAAGAGCAGAAGGUGCAAACUUAUUUUGUGGGUGGGUAGAUUGACAUGCACACUUUACUCCAGGUCCUGGGGAGGACAGAAUUACACGAGACUGAUUCUUAGCUUUAUGUCUCCCUUGCUGAGUGGUUUUGUGGCCGGGGCGCCGUUUUCUCGCCACUAAAUGGAGAUGAUGGGACGCAUCCCACCUUGCUCACAGAGCUGUUGUGAGGAUUAAAUACUGUGCGUAAAAGGCUCUACCUACUGUCUGGCCCACUAUUGUAAACCUUCAUUAAUGCUAACACCCUUCUGUGCACUGUGUCAGGGCAAGCCUAAGGUUAGCAAGCUUCCGGAGAUCUCAGCCCUGCUGUCUCUCUGGGGAGAGACUCCUGCCUGUUGCAAGGAUUGGGGUGGGGCUGAUAGCACAGCUUGACCCUGGAUGACAUUAAAACCCAGAUAAAGCUGGAGAUCAGGCACGCAGCCUUGCACCAUCCGCCCAGGAUCGAGCUAGGUCAGGCGCUUCUGUCUUGGCUGAGCGGCUGAGUGGCUUCCAGGGGCAGUCUGGCAGGGUGAGCCUGUCAUCUGACAGGUUUAAUCCUGGCCUCUGCCUCUUCGCUAGACCAGUCCUGGCCUCUCUUGUGUGAUGCUUGCCUUUGUACCUGGUUUCCCAUUAAUAAUUAGCCUCCAACCAGACCUGCAGAAUAAGAUUUGUGUGUGAACUUGUAUAUGUUAAGAAAAGCAUGUACUAAUUUGCCUGCAGGAAUAGUGGGUGGGAAGAGAUAUGUAUGUGCUUGUAUACCAAAGCACAAACAUGUUAGUAAGUCUGUGUGUAUGAGUAUUAUAUGUAUCUGUGUGAGUCUAGGGAGAUAGAUACUUGGGAGCCAGUAUCUACUUUCACAAGUGCCUUAAUCUGUGCAUGUUUGUUCGUCUUUUUUUGUGUGUGAGUUUCCCCUGUUUUUGCACUUGUGGUUAUCUCUGGGUGUGUCUCAAUAGGUCUGUCUAUGUCUGUAAUGGGGUAAGAGAGAAGGGUGUGUAAGUGUUCUGGUUUCAAGACCAAUAUUUAGCAAGCACUAAACAAGGUUCUGUUUUUACAUCUCUGUAGGAAGGGAGUGGACAUGACAUGCCCCUUCCCUGCAUUCUCCGGCAGAUUCUUCUGAGCUCUGUAGCCCCAACCAAAGUACCACAUUCUCUAAAAGAUUUCUCUGGAUUUCUGAGUGGGAAUUAAUUUCUCCUUCCCCAUUUCUCCAUUGUCCUUUGUUCAGUCAUUGAUUAUAGCCUUGACCUAUCAAUCUACCUCGUCCCUGUGUCUUCCUCGACUAAGGAUAAUUUUCAGAAAUAAAAUGGAACAGGAUAAAUUGAACUGCCCACAUUGCUUUUUCUCACAAGCAUACAUCAUCUGUCUCUUCCAUCAGGCUCUCAGUGCCUAGCAGGAGCAAUACAAUGUGAGCCCCAAUCCCUGCUGACUAAAUUGAAAAGAGAUCCUGUGGUGCGGACAGGAAGAGCUUGUGUCUCUGGAGUCAGACUGAGUCAUGACUCUGCCAACUAUGUAACCUUGGAGGUCCGCUCUCUGAGGCUGUUUCCCCUGAGCUGCAGUUUCCUCAUCUAUAAAAUGGGACCAAUAAAUCUUUUCUCACAUAAUUGAACUGAGGAUUUAAGAGAACAUUUUUAUAGAGCCUGACCCCCAGACAUCGCUCAAACUGUGUAGACUCACAUUUCAGUAAUAUCAUUGCCGACUUUGAGCCUUGUUGGCUAAAGGAUCAAAGCAGAAACCUCUGCUUCAUAACCUUCCCAUCAGGUGAUACACCCUGACAGUUGCCCUACUAGGUAUUUCCAAAUGAUACCUAAAACUGCUGGGUUGGCCGUGAGCUGCACUGUAUCACAGAUUCUCAGGCAACUGGGGAGAAAAGCUGAUGCAGCUUCUUUGCCAGAAGAAUCACAGCAAAGGCCUGGAAGACCUUGCAGUGUGAUCCAGGCCAGCUCUGCCUCAGGGCGUAGAAGACCCACCCUAGGGUGAUUCAUCACCUGGAUGGCAUAAAAGAGAAGGAGGAAGGAUGCAUGAGUUUCAUUCUUCAGAGGGCUCCAGUCUCCACCUUCAACUUGGAUGUCAUCUUCUGGCUUCCAGUGCAGAUUGUUCAGCUUCUGUCUUAGAUCCUUCAGCCUUCUGGCAUAGAUUCUCCAGCCUUUUUUUCACAGACCCAUUGGCCUACUGGUGCACACCUGCAUGGGAUACAGCAGUGAACUCCAGACCUUGGGUUGACUCCUUCAGCCUCUGGUAUGCAGACACCCUCUGCACACUUCCUCAUCCAACGCUUUGGCUGACCAUCGUAAGCCUAUCUUGAAAUGUCUUAUACAUUUGUAUAUCUUGUGUUAUAUCUGUUUUCUCUAGUAAAUGACUCUGACUAAUACAGUGGGUAAACAGUUAAGUAAUUUGUAGAUUAAGAUAAUUGCCAGAAAAGAAAUUGAAAGGGUGUUUGGACACAAAAUAACUGAGCGACACCCCCUUAGGCUGGUCAUGGAAAGCCUCUCUGGUGGUAACAGCCUAACUAAAAUCAGAAGGAGCCAACUCCACAACAACCAGAACAAACUGCAAUUGUAAGACUUGGAAGAGAAAAAGAAGCAGAGAGAAGAUGAGAAUAAGUGAAGCAUCAUAAGUGAAGCGGAGAGAUUCAUGGACUACAGGGGAAGAGAAUAAGAAGUCACCAAGAAGCAAGCCCCCUCUGUGAAUCAGUGGGCUAGGAAACAGGAAGAGACACCUUACCCCACCUUCACCCCUCAAAAGCAACUGGCUGAUCCAGAGAAACACAGGCUGCAAUGAUAACUACUGAGGUAAAAUACAAUUUAAUAGUUGUAGUGUUUAGUGUUUCACUGACUUUGCAGGUCUAAAGCCCGUAGUCUGAUCAUCUAUUCAGAGGACAACAAUAUGCAAUGUAGCAUCUAUGGGAGAUCUCCUGUUAGCCACUGUUAAUUCCCUAUUAUCUUGUUUUGAAGUCCUGUAUCAUUUUAAUUGUUUUGUUGGGUUGGGCUUUAUUAUGUUUUGUUUUGUUUGAUUUUAUUAUAUCCAAUGGCAUGGGCAACUGUUUCAAGGAUUACAAGACAUAAUUAUGAUACCCAUUUUGGAUUUAUUAUUAUCUUGUUUGGAAAUCCUUUAUUGCAUUCAUUGUAUUGUUUUUAUUGGUUCUGUUCUUUUCUGUUUUGCUUGAUUUUUCCUAUGUCUGAAGGUAUGGGCAGCUAUUUUGAAGACAACAGGAGGCAUUAUAGUAACCAUUGUUGAUUUCAUAUUGUUUUGAAGUUCUGUGUCACACUGGUUUGUGUUUACUGGCGUUAUUGUUUUAUUUUGCUUGGUUUUCUUCUCUUUAAAAUAAAAAUAAAUUUUAAAAAAAAGUGAA